rnacentral:ncRNA from 2 species
AGAUAUCCGCAAGCUCGAGGUGCUGCCCUGUUAGGGAGGGUGGGAAAUCGGGAAGCCGGUCAAAAUCCGGCGCUGCCCCCGCAACGGUGGUGGAGAUAGACGUAACGGCAAAAGGCCACUGGGAAGGUCCUGGGAAGGCGCCGAACGUGUCUGGCAACAGACGUCUCCAGAGCCCGGAAACCAGCCUUGAAGCAAUGAUAUUU